rnacentral:rRNA from 1 species
UACGUAGGGCGCAAGCGUUAUCCGGAAUUAUUGGGCGUAAAGAGCUCGUAGGCGGUUUGUCGCGUCGGGAGUGAAAACAUCGGGCUUAACUCGGUGCUUGCUUUCGAUACGGGCAGACUUGAGGCAUGCAGGGGAGAACGGAAUUCCUGGUGUAGCGGUGAAAUGCGCAGAUAUCAGGAAGAACACCCGUGGCGAAAGCGGCUCUCUGGAACGGUACUGACGCUGAGACGCGAAAGCGUGGGGAGCGAACAGG